CUGCCGGACCACGAAGUGAAAGGGUCAUGGCUCUCUGAGCUGCAGCUCUACUCCAAGGGGAAUCCCCUCCAUGUGCUUUUUCAGCCAAUUGAUGUGCGGAUACAGCACGAAUACAGCUUUUUAUUAGACAUGAACUGUUUAAAUUUAAAAUUGGCGCUCAUUUUGUGAUUUUGGUGGUUGCAAGAUGGCGUCGAUUACAUCAUUUCCGGUCGGAGAGAAGCUGGUGGCGAUGACGCCAUUUCCGGUCGGAGGCAAGAUUACGCUGCCUGCUGAAGACGGAGUACACGAGGUGUUGAACAAUUCUACAUAACUGGCUGCUUUCUCAACAUCAUGCCAGGAAAUGUUAGAGGUCAAGGUGAUGUGGAUAUUGUGUGGUAUCCUCUGGGAUAGCAGCUACAUUCUGCCUGGUGGAAGAACUACACAUUAUCGAUUCAAGAUACCCAUCCAAGUGGCCGAGGAUACAUUGUGCAACAUCGAGAAGAACUCUAAGACUGCACAUUUCACGAGGCCAGUGAAAGUCAUUGUUUGGGAUGAAUGUCCAAUAAUUACGAGAGAACACUUUGAAGUUGUGAACAGAACUCUUCCAGAUGUCUUCAGAAACACUAAGAAUUUUGGUGCCUCCCUGCCAGCACAGGCCUCAGUGACUGAGCUGCCAGCCCUCAGUGACUGCCAGCCCAAAAAUCCAUUCCGCCCACAAACUCCAUACUAACCUUCGGCCCAUCACACUAGCUCAACAGAAAUAGAGAGAGUACAGAGGAGAUUUACUACAAUGUUGCCUGGGUUUCAACAACUAAGUUACAUAGAUAGGUUGAAUAAGUUAGGUCUUUAUUCUCUGGAGCGCAGAAGGUUAAGGGGGGACCUGAUAGAGGUCUUUAAAAUGAUGAGAGGGAUAGACAGAGUUGAUGUGGACAAGCUUUUCCCUUUGAGAAUAGGGAAGAUUCAAACAAGAGGACAUGACUUCAGAAUUAAGGGACAGAAGUUCAGGGGUAAUAUGAGGGGGAACUUCUUUACGCAGAGAGUGGUGGCGGUGUGGAAUGAGCUCCCAGUGGAAGUGGUGGAGGCAGGUUCAUUGGUAUCAUUUAAAAAUAAAUUGGAUAGGCAUAUGGAUGAGAAGGGAAUGGAGGGUUAUGGUACGAGUGCAGGCAGGUGGGACUAAGGGGAACAACAUUUGUUCGGCAUGGACUUGUAGGGCCGAGAUGGCCUGUUUCUGUGCUGUAAUUGUUAUAUGGUUAUAUGGUUAAAUAUGAAAGGAUAGGUCAAAGGUUUCCUAAAUGUUGGAACAUCGCCCAAGAAUGUUGUCAUUAAUAGUGUGCUUCAUUGAAUGAUGACUUCUGAGAUAUUCUCAGAUUUUCCUUCUUAAAAUUUGACUGCUGACUUUCUCCAUAUUAAAAUUGUUUC